rnacentral:ncRNA from 1 species
ACCUGUCAUUGGCAAACCCGGAGCGAUCCGGCGACGCAAAGCUAUAGGGACUCCACGUGCUGGAGUUAGCCAGUUGCCUGC